GUACGGGGGGAGCAAGCGUUGUUCGGAUUUACUGGGCGUAAAGGGCGCGUAGGCGGUCGUGACAAGUCACUUGUGAAAUCUCCGGGCUUAACUCGGAACGGUCAAGUGAUACUGUCGGACUAGAGUACAGAAGGGGCAACUGGAAUUCUCGGUGUAGCGGUGAAAUGCGUAGAUAUCGAGAGGAACACCUGCGGCGAAGGCGGCUCUCUGGAACGCAACUGACGCUGAGACGCGAAAGCGUGGGGAGCAAACAGG
rnacentral:rRNA from 1 species